CAGUAGCCGCGGUAAUACGGAGGAUCCAAGCGUUAUCCGGAUUUAUUGGGUUUAAAGGGUGCGUAGGUGGCCUGUUAAGUCAGGGGUGAAAGACGGUAGCUUAACUAUCGCAGUGCCCUUGAUACUGAUGGGCUUGAAUGAACUAGAGGUAGGCGGAAUGUGACAAGUAGCGGUGAAAUGCAUAGAUAUGUCACAGAACACCGAUUGCGAAGGCAGCUUACUAUGGUUUUAUUGACACUGAGGCACGAAAGCGUGGGGAUCAAACAGGAUUAGAGACCCCCGUAGUCCCUGUCUCUUAUAU
rnacentral:rRNA from 1 species